rnacentral:lncRNA from 1 species
GGUGUCAGUGGUCGUUUUUCAUGACCUGCUUCGUUUAAAGCAUUGGUCUGAAGUCAAUGUUGAGAUAUCCACCAAGCUACCCAGUCACAUCUGGUGUAAUUUUAUAUUGCUUUUGGAGGAUGAAAUACCACUCAGUUUUCUUGCUGCACGAGAUGAGAACACUAAUGCUGCAGCAGUGGGCAGAUUUAAUUUUUUGGGGAGCAUUUGAUUUAUUAUGGCUGUUUGCUGGCCUGCUGAUUCACAAAUCUGUCAGUUCAGUGAAUUUCUGUUCAACGUGGGAGUGA